rnacentral:lncRNA from 1 species
UUUAAGGUUUCAAUUGAUCAAGUCCAAGAUCUCGAAUCGAAUCGAUAUUCAGAGGUGACGUCAAAAAAAAUCAACAGACAAAUUAUUUCUCAGCUGAUUAAUUUAUAUGGGCUGACUAACUUGGGUGGACGAAUACCUGCCUAUGAUGGUAUGAAGAGCAUUUACACGGCAGGGCCGCUGCCUUUUGUAUCGAAGGAAUUCAUUAUCAAUUUACCUGAUAGUGAUCCUCGUCCCAGCUCGUCUACCAGCCCGGGGUAUCUCAUGCUUUUAACAUGUGUGUUUCUUGAAUAUUGUUGAUUGUGAGUUUUCUUGAUUUAAUGUGUCUGAGUAAUUUCUUAUGCAGAAGGGAGCAUCAGUUUAGGGUGGUUAUCAGAUUGGCAUCGAAGCCUGAUCUUUACACUCUACAGCAGUUCUUACGCCGAAGGCAUUUUGAAGCUCCGUACCAUGUUAUACAAGUGCUUGAUGUUGUUCUCAGAGCAGCUCCAUCAGAGAAGUAUUUAACCUUAACCGUGUUAAUAAAAGUUUCACUUUUUGGUUUGUUUGAUAUAGGAUGUUGCCUGCCCAUGCCGGCAUUUGCUUGUUCAUGCAACUGAUUUAGCAUUUUAUUUCUGAGGAAAAAUUUUAAUAUUGUCUAUUUUAUGUCUUGAACAAUUUAGGUUUUAGAUUGAUUAAUUAAUGAAAUGAUGAACUUCUGCAUCAGGCAUACAGUUCUGGGAAGGUCAUUUUUCUCAACUGAUCUUGGACCAAUGGGUCAGCUUGGUGAUGACGUUGAGUAUUGGCGUGGAUAUUUUCAGAGUCUUCGCCCAACCCAGAUGGGGCUAUCUCUUAAUAUUGGUAUUUCUCAUUAUAUUUUAUAUAAUUUGAUGCUGCUUCUCUUUUAUAUUAUGCAAACUUGAUUUUCUUUUUCGGUGCAACGUUGCUACAUAAAUAUUUGCUUUUGCUGUUGCAGAUGUUUCAGCCAGCUCCUUUUAUAAGCCAAUUCUAGUUACUGAGUUUGUUCAGUAUUAUUGCAGCGACUUAUCACGUCCUCUUUCUGAUCAAGUGCGUCUCAAGGUAUUGUCUAGUCUUCUUUCGUGAUGUCAUGGUUAUAAUUAAUUUAGUAUCAAUUUAAUGAGCUAUCUAUUGGGCGGUUAAAAGUUUUAAUUAAGGGCUGCAGCACUGUAAUAUAUUUGUGAUAAGAGCCUUUUCAAAGAAUGAUCACAGAUUUGUUAGGCAAACCGUUCAGUAAUGUUUUAGAUGCUGUGUAUAAUUUAUUGCAAGUAAUUAGUAGUUUAAAAUUUCAAAUUUCUUGCAAAUUUUGGAUAGGGUAAUUUCUUAAUUUGUGGCUGAACUGGUGGGUGGUGAGUAGUGUCUGUUGUUCUCGGCCAUUGAAAUCUAAAUAGAAUGAGCUCCCAAGUCUAGGGGGAAUAGAAUGUUGAUGACAGUGUUUGAUGAUUAAUGUAGGAAGUUGGUGUAUAAUUUGGCCUAUAAUUCUGAUGAUAAAGAAAUGAGAUCUUGAAAUGGCGGUUUUAAAAAUCUUCCACGCAUUCAUUUGCAAUUGUACAGUUAUCUUGAUCAACUUAUUAUCAUUCCGCUACGUAUAUUAGCAAUCUUUUGAACUAUCUGUAAACUUUUUACUUUCGAUCUAUUUUGGCCGCUAUUUGACAACUGCCCUUUAAUUAUUUUCAAAAUUAUUGCUGGGAAUUGGAUAGAGACACGUGCUCAAUGAUAUUAAUAUAAUUGUUUAAUUCUUGACUUCUAGGUGAAAAAGGCAUUGAAGGGAAUAAAGGUAGUGCUCAGGCAUAUGGGGUACAACUUAAGUUGCAAGAUCACUGGAAUAACCAGUCAACCGAUGAGCCAAGUAAUGUAUGUGUGUGUGUAAUUAACUGAUAUACAAGUGUAAGAACACUGUCCAACUUGUGGUGAUAGAGUGUGAUAACAUAACUUGGUGGUUUGGUUGUGUUUAUGUUGGUCGAUUUGUUUAUGUUAGCUGAUUCUUGAGUCCCCCACGCCAUUUGAGAAGCAUACUUUAUGUUGCCUGCUUUUGUCGUCAUCUGAAAUCCACAUAUGGUUAAAUUUGUCUUCUGUGUUGUAUUUUAUGUAUGAUUGAACUACUUGGUGGUAAAAAGUUUGGCGGAUGUGUCUCAAAUCAAUUUCUCAAAUCUGAUAUGUGAUAGUAGUUGGCUACUAUGUAGUGCGAUGGUCACUUGAUAUUGCGUGUAACAGUGAUGUAUCCCUCCUUCCAUGUUAUAGUAGGCAUUCACGUUAUAUCUUCCCUUUGAUUGUAUUUGCUAGGUUUACUUCUGACAAUGAGACAAGGUCGGUGGUUCAAUAUUUUCUUGAAAAACAUAAAAUUGCGCUUCAAUUCACGUCAUUGCCUGCCCUUGAAGCUGGAACUGAAGAGAGGCGCAUUUAUUUGCCAAUGGAGGUUCUAUGAUCAAAAGACUACUUUCAUUCUUUGUGUCUGGAAAAUAAUUUAUUUAAGACUUAUUUAUAGAAUAUUUUUGUUUCCAGCUUUCUAGGAUUGUCGAGGGACAGAGAUAUACUAAAAGAUUAAAUGAAAGACAAGUAACUGCUCUUUUAAGAGCAACUUGUCAGCGUCCUCGGGAUCGUGAAGCAAAUAUACAGACGGUAGAGCAUUGUUGUAAUUUCUUACAUCUGUGGUGGAUCUUUUUUGGAUGAUUAAUCUGGGAGCUAUCUUCUUGUGAACAAAGAGAGUUUCUGAUUCUUGCUUCUGGGUUUGACAUUCUUCUGCAGAUGGCUAGGAAAAAUGCUUACAAUGAAGAUACUCUUGUGAACAAGAAGUUUGGAAUUCAAGUGGCUGAUGGUCUUACAUCGUUUGAUGCUCGAAUCCUACCUGCUCCAAUAGUAAUUAUGUGUCAUUUUGUUUUAUUUGUAACAGGAUUGUGGUACUUCCAAUCUCCUUGUGCUUAACUUUACCUCCUGUAAUGCUGCAGCUUAAAUAUCAUGAAUCUGGCAGAGAAGCAAGCGUGAAUCCUGAUUUUGGGCAAUGGAACAUGAUUAACAAGGUGAAUUACUGAUUAUUAUUUUAUUCCGUAGUUGUUGAUUUGUGCUUAGGAAGAGCAUACGGAAGCGGUUACCACUUGUUUAAUCUGGUUGAGGGAUGUUUAUUGACUGAUGGGUAGGAUGGGUUGGAAGUUGAUUUGCUACAUUUGAUGCAAUGUGGAUGUGCUGCAUUUCUUUUGCAACCAUAAUUUUUUAUUUUUUUUUUCCGUUUUAGCAUGCUGUAAUUUCUAUUUAGUUAUAUACUUUUUCAUCUUUGACAAGCAUUGUAUCUGAUAUUCACUUAGGUAUUCGGAUUGUAUGUGCUUGGUGUUCAGCUCAAUCCACUUUGCCUUCUGAAUGGGAAGUAUUUUUUUGUUCACACUGAAUUAUUUUGUGUAAUUUUGGUUGUACAGAAAAUGUUCAAUGGUGGGACAGUGCAAGUUUGGACUUGUAUGAACUUCUCAACGUGUUUGAACCAGGAUGUGAUCGUGUUCUGUCAACGGUUGGUAGACAUGUGCAAUAGAAAGGGAAUGGUAUGGUAAUGUUAAUGGUAUGGUAAUGUUAUUUGUUUUGCAAUUCAUGUUAGCAAUUUAGGUUAAUGGUCUCUCUGAACCGACUUUUUUCUUUUGGGGGGUCCGUGUUUAUCAUGCCAGGUAUUUAACUGCCGGCCUGUCAUUCCCAUAAGUUCAUACAACCCAUAUCAAAUUGAGAAGGCACUUGUAGACGUUCACAAUAAGACUACACAGCCAGGGAAACAGCUUCAGCUGUUGAUAAUUAUUUUACCAGAUGUUAGCGGAUCAUAUGGUGAGUGAUAAAUUUAAUCAAGGAUUAAACUUUAAUGUCAGCUUUGGUUUUGUUCAACAUUAUCGGCUUUCUGCUCGCAGGAAGAAUUAAGCGAGUUUGUGAAACGGAACUUGGGAUUGUUUCACAAUGCUGUCAGCCUAAGCACGCAUCCAGUUGCAACAUGCAGUAUUUUGAAAAUGUGGCUCUUAAAAUCAAUGUGAAGGUUUGCUUUGCCCCCAUUUUUUUGCGUGUUCAUUAUCAUGGUUAAUAUUUGAGAACCAAUACAAGGGUUGGCAGGAAAACAUGUAGGAGAUGAUUUUUUUUUUUUUUUGGCAAUUUAAUUUCAGUCUUGAUUUGCUGGAAUUAUUGUAUUUUUUUUGUUCAAAUAAUCAAAUUCUGAUGUUCAAGAUAUUUUUAUAAGUGUUUGGGAGUGCCAAAAUUUCUUGUUAAAAUUGAUAGGUUUGCUUAUUGGUACUGGGGAUUCAGUUUGCUAUUUGUAAUUUUAUCAGGUUGGAGGACGAAACACUGUGCUCGAUGAUGCUGUUCAGAAAAGAAUUCCUCUUGUGACUGAUAAACCUACAAUUAUAUUUGGUGCAGAUGUCACCCAUCCACAACCAGGAGAAGACUCUAGCCCUUCAAUAGCGGCCGUAUGUGCACUGAUUUUCUGUUUCUGCUUUCUAGUAAUUCACUCUGUUAAAAGAUUGAAUUGACUGAGAUAGGUGGUGGCCUCAAUGGAUUGGCCAGAAAUAACCAAGUACAGAGGACUUGUCUCUGCUCAGGCACAUAAUCAGGAAAUUAUCCAAGAUCUCUAUAAAUCUAUUAAAGAUCCUCAGAGGGGUUCAGUUCAUGGAGGGAUGAUCCGGUUAGUAGACAUGGAAGUACAUAUCAGGUGCCUUAUUAUUAAGAGAACCUUAUGCUUCUGUUUGUCUUUUACAGGGAACUGUUAAUUGCCUUCAAAAUAUCAACCAACCGUAAACCUGAGAGUAUUAUUUUCUACCGGUAAUGGUUGUUUUCAAUGUUAAACUGCAUGUUUUGUAGAAUGUUACUGAUGUUGUUUCAUUUAUGUGCCAGAGAUGGUGUUAGUGAAGGGCAGUUCAGUCAGGUUUUACUCCAUGAAAUGAAUGCUAUCCGGGAGGUAAUGCUGAUGAGUCCUGAAGUUAAUACAAUUUUCUUGUGUUCUAGAGAUUUUCAAUAUCUAGUUUCAGUUAAUUUCUUGUUGAUGACUUUUGUUGCAACAUGCUAAAUUGACUUAUCUCCAGGCCUGUGCCUCACUUGAGGAGGGAUAUGCGCCACCAGUUACGUUUGUUGUGGUACAGAAAAGGCAUCAUACUCGCCUUUUUCCUGGUGAUCACAACAGACGCGAUCUGACAGAUAGGAGUGGAAAUAUUUUACCAGGUUCCAAGUUAUCUUUGUAUUAUUAAUCUUUAUUUUCUAUUUGCGUCUUUUGAGUAUGCAUAAUGGCUGGGAACCAUGUUGUUGCUUAACCUUGUCUUUGAUGAAUAUUUUUGGGAUGUCCCUGUGUUAGGAACUGUUGUUGAUACUCAUAUUUGUCACCCUACAGAAUUUGAUUUUUACCUCAACAGCCAUGCAGGAAUUCAGGUUAAAAAAAAAAAUUAAGUUUGCUAUUUCAAUCCAGGUUAAAAAAAUAAAACAAUGUCCCCCCCCCCCCCCCCUCUUGAAUUUUUAAAUGUGUUGGACUGAUUAAGGUGUUUAUUCCAGGGAACCAGUCGCCCAACUCACUACCAUGUAUUGUAUGAUGAGAACCAUUUUACUGCAGAUGACUUGCAAUUGUUAACAAAUAACUUGUGUUACACGUAAUAUGUUUACCUUCUCUAUAAUGGGAUUUAAUAUUGCAUUGUUGAAGAAUUUAUCUUUCGAGUGGUUAUUUUGUAAGUUUUUGACUCGUGGCCCAUUUUCAGGUAUGCAAGGUGUACUCGAUCAGUUUCAAUAGGUCUGACCCUUGUACUUCUAUUGUUUUACUAAAAAUAUUGCUAGCAUUGAUUGAUUUUUUUUUUCUUUUUAUUUUUUGUAUUGGCUGUUUUCAUAUGGCAGUGCCUCCUGCAUACUAUGCACAUUUAGCAGCUUUUCGGGCUCGUUUUUAUAUCGAGGAUGAAACAUCUGCGGGUGGAUCCACAGGAGGGACUAGGAGCACGGCGGAGGGGAGUUUGGCUAUCCGGCCUCUUCCCGUCAUCAAGGAUAAUGUGAAAGAUGUAAUGUUUUACUGCUGAAAGUAGUCUCCAGCAUCAAUCCUCUUUGUCAUGGUUUUCAUCAAGGCUUGACGUGUUUUGGUAUAUGGAGUACAGCGUGGUGCCGUUUUUGGACAGUACUGUUAUUUUGGGAGUAGUUUCAAAUUGGACAUCAAGGGUAGAAACUGAUUCUCCUUAUGUUAAAAAUGUUAGCUGCAUAUUGUCCUGGUUAAUGCUGGUUAAUGCCUUGUAAAUUUAAAUGCCAAAAAACUUCAUUUCUUGGUGGGGUUAUUUGAUCUCACUGCACGCUUUUUUAAAUUAACAUUUUUGGACAGUGCUGAUUAUCUCACUGCACUCUUUUUUCAAUUAACAUUUUUAUUCUGAAAACAUAAUUGGAUCAAUUAUAUAUUUGAUCUUAUUUUCUCUCUCGAUCUCUUUCCCUUAACCAAAAUUUAUUGUAAUAUGUGAAGUAAGUAUUGAAUUUUCUAAUUAUUCAAAAAGUAAUAAAUUCAGCUCAAUGGUAAUUAGAAACAAGAUGAAAGAGACAAUGUUAAUCAUUUAGAAAUAAAAAAUAAGAGUUUUUAGACUGUUCUAAAUUUGUUAGAAUUUUGAGAAAGAUGAAGUUGAUUUUGGAGAGAAUAAAAUUGAAAAGUAGUUUAAGCUUUGAUCAUUUCUACAGUAGACAGAAAAAUUAGAGCCAAUUUGGGAUUGCGAAGGCAUAUGAAAUAAGCAGCUUAUGUGUUGUGCAGGUGAAAUAAGUUGUUGAUAAAAAAAGUAGUUUAGUGUUUGGAAAACUGUAUUGUUGUGGUUGCUAAGAAUUUGAAUAGUACAGUACAUGUGUUUGGUAAAUUAUAUUACGAAAGUAUUGUUUUAUUAUAUAAUGAGCAAAAUAGAUACAAGUUUUAAUUACUUUUUAUUUUUAAAGUAUGUUUAAUAGAUUAUUUAUACAUAUCUUUUUUCUUAUUGUUUUAUAUAUAAUGACUAAGAUAGACAUAAAUUUUAAUUACUUUUUAUUUUUAAAGUAUAUUUAAUAAAUUAUUGAGACAUAUCUUUUUUUCUUAAAUGCAUAAAAUUACAUUAAAAAACUCAAUUAAAAAAAUCUAUAGAACUUCAUAAUUUAUUACAAAAAAAAUAUGAUAAAAAUAAAGUUAUGAUUCAUAUAUUAGGGUUUAUAGAUAAAUAAAAUAUAAUUGUCUUUUUAUUAAAUUCUAGGGUUAUAAUAGGAAAUUUAAAAAGGUAUGGUAACUUAUUAAAUAAGCUGUUUAUAAAAAGUAAUUUGUUACCUGCUUUUAAAAGUUGCUGACAAAAUGGAAAAAAUUAUGAAAUAAGUUGAUUUUAUAAAAUUUUACAAACAUUAUUUUUAUUAAAAAUUAUGAAAUAAGCAGUUUAUUAAAUUUCAACUACAAUUCUAAACUGACCCUUGGUUAAUCAAAUAUUUUUUGUGACUUUUGAGAAUUAGUGAAUUAAAAUAAUAAAUUAUCAUAAAAAAAUGAUUUUUAGAAGGAAAAUCAACGUUUGCCUCAAUUGUUUGAUGAGGCGAAUGAUGCAUGUAUACGGUUGGGUACAUGCAGUUGUUUUUAACUAAGAUGUAUAAAUAGAUGAACAAAUACUGCAAAAGCGAAAGUAUUUAAUUAAAAAAUGUCAUAAAAAUUUCUUCAAAGCCGGUGAUCGUACUACAAGUACAUUUAAGCAGUCAGCAAGAGUAUUGAACUGUGUAUGCUUCCUUUUUUCAUUUCAAUUACCCGUUAUUCUUCUUGUACGGUGGCUUCUGAAUUACUUUCUUUACUUUUUGAGAGCUCAAGCAAUUCCGUUGCUUCUUCCACUUUUGCAGCCAAUGACUCAAAGUGAAUCCAACAGCACGAUCAUCUCGGAGAGAUCCAUUUCCAAAAUCAUCUCAGUAAUCUUUGGUGAAAGAUCACACUGUCCAAAAGUUACUUACAUGUAAAUAUCAUUAAACCAAAGCUUAAAGCAGGUGAAAAUUGUGAGUACAUUCGCAGAAGGUUAAAACUUCAAUUUACUCCCUUAUUUUAAAAGACAACCUACUACUUACCUCAAAAAUAUAAAAACAUCAAUUGAUGUCUUUUAUUAUUAAAAAGACAAAAAAAAAUAUUAUCAACACACUUUUCGUUUGUCCUAAUCUUUUGAACGAAAAUGAAAAUAAACUGAAGAUUAUCAUUUUACCCGAAGAUGAAUCAAAAUUGACCCUUCACAAAAAAAUAUGAGCAAUCACCUUGAGUUUCUUCACCAGCGGGUAGAGUCUUCGGCCAAGAAUAUCUUUCCUUUCAUUAGGGGAAGCAGCAGCAAGCAUGCUGCUCAAAUUUUCAUUGUAAGCAGCAGCUCUUUAAUUCCCAUUUGUCAGCUCUUUGAUUCCCAUUGGAAAAUUUAGCAUUGCCCAUUCAUCCUUCCUCCUCUAUAUUGCCUUACAGAAUUAGGAGCCUGUAAUACAAAAUUUUUAAUCCCAAAGUUAAGCAGAAGCGCAACAAUUCCAAAUACAUCCUAAACUUGAUUUUACGUUACCAUUAGAAACAAAGGAGAAGGAGGAGGAGGAGAAAAUCCAUUAGGAAUCAUGCCACCAUGCCUGAACCCUGGUGCUUGGUACACUUGUAAUGCACGUUGAUAAAGGGUCGGAUGCAUAGGAAAAAUGGUGCUACCAAGUCCUGGCCCUUGCUUUGCAUACAUCAUUCGUAGGUACGAAGUUCUUUCUCGCUUUGUUUGAGCAAUGGCCACAUACAAUGGCUUUUGAUGAAACAAGAUGCCAUUCAGAGUAUUUAUGGCUCGAUUGGCUUCAUCAGGAUUAGAGAAACACACAAAUCCGAACCCUUUGCUAAUACCUCGAUUAGUUCUCAUGAUCUUAACAGAGCUGAUAAUGCCACACUGGCUAAAAUAUUGUUUCAAUUCAAUUUCGUCAACGUCAUCAUUUAUGUUCUUCACAUACAAAUUUUUAUCCUACAAUUGACAAACAUCUUGAUUUUAGCAGGAUUUAACAAACGAAAAUAACGAUAUUAAUUAAGAGAGCAAAUAACCAAAAAAAAAAAAAACACCUUGUAUAAUUCAGCACGCUCUUUGCGCAUUCUCUCAAAUUAAGCGCGUAAAAUCGCCUUUCGUUCAGCUUUCUUCUGUGCAUUGUGUCUUUGGCUCUUUUAACAUCAUCUGGAUUUUCAAAAUUCACAAAACCAAAACCCUUUGAUGUCCCGUUAGCAUCUUUUGAGAUAACCAAACUUAUUAAUAUUUUUCCAAACUCGAAGAAUUUCUCUACCAAAAUCUCCUCAGUCACAUCAUCAUCUAAAUUCUUGACGUACAGGUUGUUAAAAAAAGCACUUUCUUGAAUCCCCCCAGCCCUUCUGAUGAAUGGACCAACAUAGCUGCCAAUUAAUGCCAGUGAACAUUAUUAAUGCGACAAAUAGUAGAUAAAUUAGCAUAUAUACAAAGAUGACACAUACAACUGUGGCUGGAUCCAAUAACUAAUUGCACCAUUGUUUUGCCCCUUUUAUAGAAUGUAAAAUUAAAAUUUACUAUUAAAAUUGUCAAAAACCACCAACAAAGUGUUGGCUCCACUGGCAAUGGAGUCCCCUUAAGUGACUUGACUGGGUUUGCUCCCUAGUUCGAGUCGCAGGGAAGUCGCCUUUGUUGGGAGAACCUGUGCCUCCCGGUUCGAGCGGGGACUUCUAGUCUGGGUUGUGGUACGGGCUUAAAGGUGCCUCCCACAGUUGGGGCCCUCCCCAGGAUACCUCGUGAUUAAUAUCAAAAAAAUUGUCAAAAACCAUUACGUGUGGCAAUAUUCAAAUCCGAAUUUAAAUCUGCAUUGAAAUUUUGAGAUAUGGAUCCACAUUUUUUUUUUAUUGGAUCUGAUUAAAGGAAAUAUUCGUAAAGAUUGCAGGCAUAUAUUUUGCAUAUCUAGAUUCGCAUGAUUCAAAAUUCAUAUAUAAUUUAAAAUUUAACAAAUUUGCCUAAUAAAAUCCAAUUAUAAUUGAACGAUCAACAAUUCAACACCUAGAAUAACAUUCAACAAUAUUAAAUUCAUAAAUAAAAAUACCAUAAAAUAAAUCAAACAUCAAAAAUAACAUAAAUUUAAGUCUAACACCACUACAAAUCCAUAAAUACGAACACCACAAGUCCACUUAGAUUCAAUUUAAAACCAUCACAAAUAAAAACACCACAACAAAUCUACACAAGUUUGAUUUUUUUAAAUUUAACAUAUAUUUUUUAUUCAAUUUUAAUGUAAUAAAUAAUUUAAUUAAAAAAUAAUGUGGAUCCAAAUAUUCAAUUUUCUGGAUGCAUUUGCAUCCGAAUCCGUACAUAUUUAUUUUUUGGCAUCCUAAUCUAUACUUUUCAAUAUGUGGAUCCAAAUCUUUACAAAUCUGGGUCGGAUCUAGAUUUUUUUACGAUCCCUACAAACAAUUACCAUGUUUGAUAGGUUAAAAAAAUAUAGGCACACGUUAGACAAUAGUAUAAAGUUAAGAGUAUUGGACUAUUCUUUUUAAAAUUAAAUCAGUCUUUUGUUUGGUGCUGCAAAGAUAAGUGAGGAUUAUGUACCUUAAGACCACACCAUUUAAUCUUGGACACAUACUUUUAUAAAGUAGAAUGAAAAAUUUUCCCAUAGGGACCCUAGGGAUAAUGUGGGAUAAUUUUUUUCAUGCCUAAAAAUAAUUGUAGAAUAACUACACAAUGAAAUAUCUAUAUCUAUUAUUACAUUAUAUUACAUUGAUUAAAUAUGUAUUUACUUCAAUAUUCAUUUUACUUAAAUAAUAAUAAAAAUGUUAGAAUUUAUAUUUUGUGUGUUUGUGUGUGUGUUUGUAUGUAUAUACAUACAUAUACACACAUAAAUGAUCAAUUACACACAUUAUUGUACGCGACGAGCCAUGUGUCAUUUAAUGAUUAGUUGUGUCGCACAUCUAAUUAUGUGUGUGCAUUAUAAUAUUAAUAAUAAUAAAAUAAAAACAACUUAAAUUAAUAUUCAGGUUUUUAAUUUAAUAUUUCGAAUAUUCGUAUUAUUAAAUUUAUAUUUAUAAAUUUACUCUUAUAAAUAAAAUACUUUUAAAUAUUUAAUAAUUAAUAAAUCAAUAGUAAUAUACUUUAUUUUCUUAUAAACUGUUUUAGUAAAAUCCUACAUAGUAUACCAAACAUGAGAUAAUAUUAAAUAUAAAUCCAGCCCAAUCUUAUUUUAUCCUACUAAACCCAAUAUAUUAUUACCCAUAAUCCAUCUUAUAAAAAAAAAAGUAAUUUAAGUUCUCGUGCUGACCGGAGGGAAACCUGAAAGGCGGAAAGCCUAGCUAUAGGGGUGUUCAGAAUCUAUUCCAAUCCGCUCAACCCGUCUGAUCCGUAAAAAUUUGAUCCGUGGAUUGGUGAAUUGGAUUGGAUUGAAAAUUUGAUAAUCUGCAAUCGGUGGAUUGGAUAUGAAUCUACUUCUAUAAAUCCGCAAAAAUCCGCGAAUCCGUAAAAAAAUAAAGAGUAUUUAUUUAAUUAAAAAAACUUGUAAAUAUGACAUUAUUACUUACUAGUAAAUAAAUAAGUUAAAAUAUAGUUAUAUUAACACUAUAUUAUAUCUUAUCCGAUGAUAAUAAAAAAUAAAAAAUAAACAAAUAAAUAAAUAAAUAAAGCUUCUUAAAUAGUUAAUUUCCAUGUGCUGAUAUAAACUAAUGAGAUUUUUUUCGUUUUGGUGUGUUAUAUUUUGAAACUUUAAAUGUAUUUUCUACCUUUAUUUAAACAGUUAAUUUAUGUAAAUCUUAUUUGAUUUUAAAUUUCAUCUGUAGUAAAAUUAUUUUUAUAUUAAUUUUUUUUAUUUAGUUAGUUUGUGGAUUUGACAAAAUUUAAAAUUUUUAGUCCGCAAAAUAAUAGAUUAGAUAUGGAUUAGGUCAAAUCCGCAUCCGAUCCACAGAUAUAUGGAUUGGAUUUGAAUUAAAUUUCACCAAUCCGUGGAUUGAAUUAGAUUAAAAAUUUAUAAUCUACAAAAUCAUGAAUCGGAUAUAAAUUAAUGGCCAAUCCAUAAAAUUCGAUUUGCGAACACUCCUACCUAGCUGAAGCUCUUACCUCAAUUUCCAGUUGAAAAUUAAUAAUUAAUAAUCACUAAUAAAAAAUUAAAGAUGAACGCUCACUAAUUAAUAAGUAAUUUAAGUUCCUUUUUAUUAUUUAUAGGGAAAUUUACACUAGUCUACCUGUUUGUUUUGCCUUUUUUAAAAAUACACAAAUAUUUUUUUUUUCAGUGCGCCACCUGAAGUUUGCUUUUUGUUGCAUUUUUCCACUUCCGUCUAAUUUCCGUUAGUGGAUUUAACGGAAUGUUAACGAAAUGACCUUUUUACCCCUCAAAAUUACAAUUUAACCUAAAAUAAAUGGAAAUUUGAGAUAAAUUGGAUGUAUUUAAAUUUUUUCAAAGGUGGAUGCUAGAAAUUGGAGGAAAAUAGUGUUUGUUGCUUGCUAAAUUUAGAAAAUUUGUAUUUAUUUUCUAAAUUUAGCAAGCAACAAACAUUAUUUUCCUCCAAUUUCUAACAUCCACCUUUGAAAAAAUUUAAAUCCAUCCAAUUUAUCUCCAAUUUUUAUUUAUUUUGGGUUAAAUUAUAAUUUUGAAGGGUAAAAAGGUCAUUUUGUUAAAUUUACUAACGAAAAUUAGACGAAAGUGGAAGAAUGUAACAAAGAGUGAAUUUGAGGUGGCGCGCUGAAAAAAAAAAAAAAGUAUUUGUGUAUUUAAAAAAAAGAUAAAAUAAACAUGUGGACGGUUGUAAAUUUUCUUUAUUUAUAUACACUUCCCAUCUUCCUCUCUCCUUCUCUCUGUUUCUUCUUAAGUCGUCGCUCUCUCGCUUUAUUUGUGUGACCAUCACUUCAAUUCGGUUCCUCAAAAUUUCCUUUCAUUUUACCUUUCUGCUUUCGACAAUGUCUCGACGUGGUGGCGGUGGUCGUAGGCCGGAUUCUCGCCGUGACCAGCCGACUCAGGCACGGGCGCCGUCAUUCCAGCGGGGUGGCGGCGGAGCCGCUGGACCACGCGGCCGAGGUCGUCAAGGUCAACGAGGGGGUGCUGGUCGUGGAUCGCAUUCCGGCUCCGGUGCAGCCCCGUCCUCACCGCACACCGCUUCGACUUCGACGGAGCCGGCUCCUUCGUCUCCGUCUGUUUCUGCUUCUGCUCCUUCUUCGUCUUCAGUCUCUACUCUUGUCGAAGAAACGGAGCAGAAACUGACAUUGGCGGCACCAGCGGCGGCUACACUUCCGCCUUCGUCGUCGCGGGCGGUGAGACUUCCAGUGAGGCCGGGAUUCGGAACCCGUGGCAGAAAAUGUGUUGUCCGAGCAAAUCACUUUAUGGUGCAACUUGCCAAGAGAGACAUUCAUCACUAUGAUGUAAGUCUACUUUUAAUUUUAACUUCGUUAUUUUUGAAAACGUUUUGACUCUUUUUAUUUUUUAUUUUCCAUUUUUCUCGUCAAUUAAGGUUUCAAUUGACCCAGAGGUGACGUCACAAAAGAUCAACAGACAAAUUAUUUCUCAGCUGAUUAAUUUAUAUCGGCUGACUAACUUGGGUGAACGAAUACCUGCCUAUGAUGGUAUGAAGAGCAUUUACACUGCAGGGCCGCUGCCUUUUGAAUCGAAGGAAUUCAUUAUCACGUUACCUGAUAGUGAUCCUCGUCCCAGCUCAUCUGCCAGCCCGGGGUAUCUCAUGCUUUUAACACGUGUGUUUCUUGAAUAUUGUUGAUUGUGAGUUUUCUUGAUUUAAUGUGUCGAGUGAUUUCUUAUGCAGAACGGAGCGUCAGUUUAGGGUGGUUAUCAGAUUGGCGUCGCAGCCUUAUGUUUACACUCUACAGAAGUUCAUACAAGUGCUUGAUGUUGUUCUCAGAGCAGCUCCAUCAGAGAAGUAUUUAACCUUAACUGUGUUAAUAAAAGUUUCACUUUUUGGUAUGUAUGAUAUAGGAUGUUCCGUGCCCAUGCCAGCAUUUGCUUGUUCAUGCAACUGAUUGAGCAUUUGAUUUCUGAGGAACAAUUUUAUUAUUGUCUAUUUUGUGCCUUGAACAAUUUAGGUUUUAGAAUGGUUAAUUAAUGAAAUGAUGAACUUCUGCAUCAGGCAUACAGUUGUGGGAAGGUCAUUUUUCUCAACUGAUCUUGGACCAAUGGGUCAGCUUGGUGAUGGCAUUGAAUAUUGGCGUGGAUAUUUUCAGAGUCUUCGCCCAACCCAAUUUGGGCUAUCUCUUAAUAUUGGUUUUUCUCAUUAUAUUUUAUAUAAUUUGAUGCUGCUUAUCUUUAUAUUAUCCAAGCUUGAUUUUUUCUUUUUUAGGUGCAGCACUGCUACAUAAAUAUUUGCUUUUGCUGUUGCAGAUGUUUCAGCCAGCUCCUUUUAUAAGCCAAUUCUAGUUACUGAGUUUGUUCAGUAUUAUUGCAGCGACUUAUCACGUCCUCUUUCUGAUCAAGUGCGUCUCAAGGUAUUGUCUAGUCUUCUUUCGUGAUGUCAUGGUUAUAAUUAAUUUAGUAUCAAUUUAAUGAGCUAUCUAUUGGGCGGUUAAAAGUUUUAAUUGAGGGCUGCAGCACUGUAAUAUAUUUGUGAUAAGAGCCUUUUCAAAGAAUGAUCACAGAUUUGUUAGGCAAACCGUUCAGUAAUGUUUUAGAUGCUGUGUAUAAUUUAUUGCAAGUAAUUAGUAGUUUAAAAUUUCAAAUUUCUUGCAAAUUUUGGAUAGGGUAAUUUCUUAAUUUGUGGCUGAACUGGUGGGUAGUGAGUAGUGUCUGUUGUUCUUGGCCAUUGAAAUCUAAAUAGAAUGAGCUCCCAAGUCUGAGGGGAAUAGAAUGUUGAUGACAGGGUUUGAUGAUCAAUGUAGGAAGUUGGUGUAUAAUUUGGCCUACAAUUCUGAUGAUAAAGAAAUGAGAUCUUGAAAUGGCGGUUUUAAAAAUCUUCCACGCAUUCAUUUGCAAUUGUACAGUUAUCUUGAUCAACUUAUUAUCAUUCCGUUACGUAUAUUAGCAAUCUUUUGAACUAUCUGUAAAAUUUUUACUUUCGAUCUAUUUUGGCCGCUAUUUGACAACCGCCCUUUAAUUAUUUUCAAAAUUAUUGCUGGGAAUGGGAUAGAGACAUGUGCUCAAUGAUAUUAAUAUAAUUGUUUAAUUCUUGACUUCUAGGUGAAAAAGGCAUUGAAGGGAAUAAAGGUAGUGCUCAGGCAUAUGGGGUACAACUUAAGUUGCAAGAUCACUGGAAUAACCAGUCAACCGAUGAGCCAAGUAAUGUAUGUGUGUGUGUAAUUAACUGAUAUACAAGUGUAAGAACACUGUCCAACUUGUGGUGAUAGAGUGUGAUAACAUAACUUGGUGGUUUGGUUGUGUUUAUGUUGGUAGAUUUGUUUAUGUUAGCUGAUUCUUGAGUCCCCCACGCCAUUUGAGAAGCAUACUUUAUGUUACCUGCUUUUGUCGUCAUCUGAAAUCCACAUAUGGUUAAAUUUGUCUUUUGUGUUGUAUUUUAUGUAUGAUUGAACUACUUGGUGGUAAAAAGUUUGGCGGAUGUGUCUCAAAUCAAUUUCUCAAAUCUGAUAUGUGAUAGUAGUUGGCUACUAUGUAGUGCGAUGGUCACUUGAUAUUGCCUGUAACAGUGAUGUAUCCCUCCUUCCAUGUUAUAGUAGGCAUUCACAUUAUAUCUUCCCUUUGAUUGUAUUUGCUAGGUUUACUUGUGACAAUGAGACAAGGUCGGUGGUUCAAUAUUUUCUUGAAAAACAUAAAAUUGCGCUUCAAUUCACGUCAUUGCCUGCCCUUGAAGCUGGAACUGAAGAGAGGCGCAUUUAUUUGCCAAUGGAGGUUCUAUGAUCAAAAGACUACUUUCGUUCUUUGUGUCUGGAAAAUAAUUUAUUUAAGACUUAUUUAUAGAAUAUUUUUGUUUACAGCUUUCUAGGAUACUCGAGGGACAGAGAUAUACUAAAAGAUUAAAUGAAAGACAAGUAACUGCUCUUUUAAGAGCAACCUGUCAGCGUCCUCAGGAUCGUGAAGCAAAUAUACACAUGGUAGAGCAUUGUUGUAAUUUCUUACAUCUGUGGUGGAUCUUUUUUGGAUGAUUAAUCUGGGAGCUAUCUUCUUGUGAACAAAGAGAGUUUCUGAUUCUUGCUUCUGGGUUUGACAUUCUUCUGCAGAUGGCUAGGGAAAAUGCUUACAAUGAAGAUACUCUUGUGAACAGAGAGUUUGGAAUUCAAGUGGUUGAUGGUCUUACAUCGGUUAAUGCUCGAAUCCUACCUGCUCCAAUGGUAAUUAUGUGUCAUUUUGUUUUAUUUGUAACAGGAUUAUGGUACUUCCAAUCUCCUUAUGCUUAACUUUACCUCCUGUAAUGCUGCAGCUUAAAUAUCAUGAAACUGGCCCAGAAGCAAGCGUGAAUCCUGAUUUUGGGCAAUGGAACAUGAUUAACAAGGUGAAUUACUGAUUAUUAUUUUAUUCUGUAGCUGUUGAUUUGUGCUUAGAAAGAGCAUAGGGAAGCAGUUUCCACUUGUUUAAAUUGGUUGAGGGAUGUUUAUUGACUGAUGGGUAGGAUGGGUUGGAAGUUGAUUUGCUACAUUUGAUGCAAUGUGGAUGUGCUGCAUUUCCUUUGCAACCAUUAUUUUUUUAUUUUUUUUUUCAUUUUAGCAUGCUGUAAUUUCUAUUUAGUUAUAUACUUUUUCAUCUUUGACAAGCAUUGUAUCUGAUAUUCACUUAGGUAUUUGGAUUGUAUGUGCUUGGUGUUCAGCUCAAUCCACUUUGCCUUCUGAAGGAGAAGCUUUUAUUUGUUUACACUGAAUUAUUUUGUGUAAUUUUGGUUGUACAGAAAAUGUUCAAUGGUGGGACAGUGCAAGUUUGGACUUGUAUGAACUUCUCAACGUGUUUGAACCAGGAUGUGAUCGGGUUCUGUCAACGGUUGGUAGAUAUGUGCAAUAGAAAGGGAAUGGUAUGGUAAUGUUAAUGGUAUGGUAAUGUUAUUUGUUUUGCAAUUCAUGUUAGCAAUUUAGGUUAAUGGUCUCUCUGAACCGACUUUUUUCUUUUGGGGGGUCUGUGUUUAUCAUGCCAGGUAUUUAACCGGCGGCCUGUCAUUCCCAUAAGUUCAUACAACCCAUAUCAAAUUGAGAAGGCACUUGUAGACGUUCACAAUAAGACUACACAGCCAGGGAAACAGCUUGAGCUGUUGAUAAUUAUUUUACCAGAUGUUCGCGGAUCAUAUGGUGAGUGAUAAAUUUAAUCAAGGAUUAAACUUUAAUGUCAGCUUUGGUUUUGUUCAACAUUAUCGGCUUUCUGCUCGCAGGAAGAAUUAAGCGAGUUUGUGAAACGGAACUUGGGAUUGUUUCACAAUGCUGUCAGCCUAAGCACGCAUCCAGUCGCAACAUGCAGUAUUUUGAAAAUGUGGCUCUUAAAAUCAAUGUGAAGGUUUGCUUUGCCCCCAUUUUUUUGCGUGUUCAUUAUCAUGGUUAAUAUUUGAGAACCAAUACAAGGGUUGGCAGGAAAACAUGUAGGAGACGAAUUUUUUUUUUUUUUUUGGCAAUUUAAUUUCAGUCUUGAUUUGCUGUAAUUAUUGUAAUUUUUUUUUUCAAAUAAUCAAAUUCUGAUGUUCAAGAUAUUUUUAUAAGUGUUUGGGAGUGCCAAAAUUUCUUGUUAAAAUUGAUAGGUUUGCUUAUUGGUACUGGAGAUUCAGUUUGCUAUUUGUAAUUUUAUCAGGUUGGAGGACGAAACACUGUGCUCGAUGAUGCUGUUCAGAAAAGAAUUCCUCUUGUGACUGAUAGACCUACAAUUAUAUUUGGUGCAGAUGUCACCCAUCCACAACCAGGAGAAGACUCUAGCCCUUCAAUAGUGGCCGUAUGUGCACUCAUUUUCUGUUUCUGCUUUCUAGUAAUUCACUCUGUUGAAAGAUUGAAUUGACUGAGACAGGUGGUGGCCUCAAUGGAUUGGCCAGAAGUAACCAAGUACAGAGGACUUGUCUCUGCUCAGGCACAUAAUGAGGAAAUUAUCCAAGAUCUCUAUAAAUCUAUUCAAGAUCCUCAGAGGGGUUUAGUUCAUGGAGGGAUGAUCAGGUUAGUAGGCAUGGAAGUACAUAUCAGGUGCCUUAUUAUUAAGAGAACCUUAUGCUUCUGUUUGUCUUUUACAGGGAACUGUUAAUUGCCUUCAAAAUAUCAACCAACCGUAAACCUGAGAGUAUUAUUUUCUACCGGUAAUGGCUGUUUUCAAUGUUAAACUGCAUGUUUUGUAGAAUGUUACUGAUGUUGUUUCAUUUAUGUGCCAGAGAUGGUGUUAGUGAAGGGCAGUUCAGUCAGGUUUUGCUCCAUGAAAUGAAUGCUAUCCGACUGGUAAUGCUGAUGAGUCCUGAAGUUAAUACAAUUUUCUUGUGUUCUAGAGAUUUUCAAUACCUAGUUUCAGUUAAUUUCUUGUUGAUGACUUUUGUUGCAACAUGCUAAAUUGACUUAUUUGCAGGCCUGUGCCUCACUUGAGGAGGGAUAUGCGCCACCAGUUACGUUUGUUGUGGUACAGAAAAGGCAUCAUACUCGCCUUUUUCCUGCUGAGCACAACAGACGUGAUCUGACGGAUAGGAGUGGAAAUAUUUUACCAGGUUCCAAGUUUGCUUUGUAUUAUUAAUCUUUAUUUUCUAUUUGCUUCUUUUGAGUAUUCACAAUGGGUGGGAACCAUGUUGUUGCUUCACCUUGUCUUUGAUGAAUACUUUUGGGAUGUUCUUGUGUUAGGAACUGUUGUCGAUACUCAAAUUUGUCACCCUACAGAAUUUGAUUUUUACCUCAACAGCCAUGCAGGAAUUCAGGUAAAAAAAAAAAGAAAAUAAGUUUGCUCUUUCAAUCCAAAUUUUAUUCAUCCAGACUUGUUAAACAAUGUCCCCCCCCCCCCCCCCAAAUUUUUUAAUUUGUUGGACUGAUUAAGGUGUUUGUUCCAGGGAACCAGUCGCCCAACUCACUACCAUGUAUUGUUUGAUGAGAACCGUUUUUCCGCAGAUGGCUUGCAAGUGUUAACAAAUAACUUGUGUUACACGUAAUUUGUUUACCUUCUCUAUAACCGGAUUUAAUAUUGCAUUGUUGAAGAAUUUAUCUUUCGAAUGGUUAUUUUGUAAGUUUUUGACUCAUGGCCCAUUUUCAGGUAUGCAAGGUGUACUCGAUCAGUUUCAAUAGGUCUGACGCUGUGUACUUCUAUUGUUUUACUAAAAAUAUUUUGAGUCAAUGAAUUAUUAUUAUUCUGGCUAGCAUUGAUUGGUUUUUUUUUUCUUUUUAUUUUUUGUAUUGGCUGUUUUCAUAUGGCAGUGCCUCCUGCAUAUUAUGCACAUUUAGCAGCUUUUCGGGCUCGUUUUUAUAUCGAAGACGAAACAUCUGCGGGUGGAUCCACAGGAGGGACUAGGAGCACGGCGGAGGGGAGUUUGGCUAUCCGGCCUCUUCCCGCCAUCAAGGAUAAUGUGAAAGAUGUAAUGUUUUACUGCUGAAAGUAGUCUCCAGCAUCAAUCCUCUUUGGUAUAUGGAGUACCAGCGUGGUGCCCUUUUUGGACAGUACUGUUAUUUUGGGAGUAGUUUCAGAUUGGACAUCAAGGGUAGAAACUGAUUCUCCUUAUUUUAAAAUGUUAGCUGCAUAUUGACCUGGUUAAUGCCUUGUAAAUUUAAAUGCCAAAAAACUUCAUUUCUUAUUUUAAAAAUGUUUCUGAUUCUCCUUAUUUUAAAAAUGUUAGCUGCAUAUUGUCCUGGUUAUUUGAUCUCACUGCACUCUUUUUUAAAUUAACAUUUUUAUUCUGAAAACAUAAUUGGAUCAAUUAUAUAUUUGAUCUUAUUUUCUCUCUCGACAAAAUGGAGAAAAAUAUUAAAUAAGUUGUUUUUACAAAAUUUAACAAACACUAUUUUUAUUAAAAAUUAUGAAAUAAGCAAGUUAUUGAAUUUCAAUUGUAAUCUUAAAUUGACUCUUAGUUAAUCAAAUAUUUUUUGUGACUUUUGAAAAUUAGUGAAUUAAAAUAAUAAACUAUAAUUAAAAAAUGGUUGUAAGAAGGAAAAUUAAAGUUUGCCUCAAUUGUUUGAUUAGGCGAAUGAUGCAUGUAUACGGUUGGGUACAUGUAGUUGUUUUUAACUAAGAUGUAUAAAUAGAUGAACAAAUACUGCAAAAGCGAAAGUAUUGAAUUAAAAAAUGUCAUAAAAAUUUCUUCAAAGUAUUAAACUGUGUAUGCUUUUUUCUUUUUUUUUUUUUUACUUUCAAUUACUCGUUAUUCUUCUUGUACUGUGGCUUCCGAAUUACUUUCUUUACUUUUCGAGAGCUCAAGCAAUUCCGUUGCCUCUUCCACUUUUGCAGCCAAUGACUCAAAGUGAAUCCAACAGCACGAGCAGCUCGGAGUGAUCCAUUUCCAAAAGCAUCUCAGUAAUCUUUGGUGAAAGACCACAUUGUCCAAAAGUUACUUACAUGUAAAUAUCAUUAAACCAAAGCUUAAAGCAGGUGAAAAUUAUUAGUACAUUCGCAGAAGGUUAAAACUUCAAUUUACUCCCUUAUUUUGAAUAACAAUCUACUAUUUACCUCAAAAAUAUAAAAACAUAAAUUUAUCUCUUUUAUCAUUAAAAAGACAAAAAAAAAAUAUUAUUAUCAACACCCUUUUCGUUUGUCCUAAUCUUUUGAACGAAAAUGAAAGUAAACUGAAGAUUAUCAUUUUACCCGAAGAUGAAUCAAAAUUGACCCUUAACAAAAAAUAUGAGUAAUCACCUUGAGUUUCUUCACCAGCGGGUAGAGUCUUUGGCCAAGAAUAUCUUUCCUUUCACUAGGGAAAGCAGCAGCAAGCAUGCUGCUCAAAUUUUCAUUGUAAGCAGCAGCUCUUUAAUUCCCAUUUGUCAGCUCUUUGAUUCCCAUUGGAAAAUUUAGCAUUGCCCAUUCAUCCUUCCUCCUCUAUAUUGCCUUACAGAAUUAGGAGCCUGUAAUACAAAAUUUUUAAUCCCAAAGUUAAGCAGAAGCGCAACAAUUCCAAAUACAUCCUAAACUUGAUUUUACGUUACCAUUAGAAACAAAGGAGAAGGAGGAGGAGGAGAAAAUCCAUUAGGAAUCAUGCCACCAUGCCUGAACCCUGGUGCUUGGUACACUUGUAAUGCACGUUGAUAAAGGGUCGGAUGCAUAGGAAAAAUGGUGCUACCAAGUCCUGGCCCUUGCUUUGCAUACAUCAUUUGUAGGUACGAAGUUCUUUCUCGCUUUGUUUAAGCAAUGGCCACAUACAAUGGCUUUUGAUGAAACUAAGAUGCCAUUCAGAGUAUUUAUGGCCAAUACUAAGAUGCCAUUCAGAGUAUUUAUGGCUCGAUUGGCUUCAUCAGGAUUAGAGAAACACACAAAUCCGAACCCUUUGCUAAUACCUCGAUUAGUUCUCAUGAUCUUAACAGAGCUGAUAAUGCCACACUGGCUAAAAUAUUGUUUCAAUUCAAUUUCGUCAACGUUAUCAUUUAUGUUCUUCACAUACAAAUUUUUAUCCUACAAUUGACAAACAUCUCGAUUUUAGCAGGAUUUAACGAACGAAAAGAACGAUAUUAAUUGAGAGAGCAAAUAACGAAAAAAAAAAAAAAACCUUGUAUAAUUCGGCACGCUCUCUUUGCAUUCUCUCAAAUUAAGCGCGUAAAAUCGCCUUUCGUACCGUUAGCAUCUUUUGAGAUAACCAAACUUAUUUAAUAUUUUUCCAAACUCGAAGAAUUUCGUACAGGUUGUUAAAUGAAGCACUUUCUUGAAUCCUGCCAGCCCUUCUGAUGAAUGGACCAACAUAGCUGCCAAUUAAUGCCGGUGAACAUUAUUAAUGUGACAAAUAAUAAAUAAAUUAGCAUACAUACAAAGAUGGCACAUACAGCUCCAUUCCUUCAACGGUAGCAGCAUAAAGCUUCUCAAUAGCAUUGAGUGCAGAUUCUGGCGUUGAGUGUUGGACAAAGCCAUAGCCUUUGCUUUUCCCAUCUUGAGACACAACAACCUUGGAGGACUGAAUGUCUCCGAAUUUGGAAAAUAUUUGAUGGAGCUUCCAAUUGUCUAUUGUACUAGCCAAGUUCUGCCAAGUGUGUGUAUAUAUAUAUAUAUAUAUAUAUAUAGGAAACAGCAGACAAAAUGAUGAUCAACUAACUAAGGUAGCGUUUACUUUUUGGAUUGGAUUGGGAAUCUUGGGGAGUGGGAAUCCUAGGAUUGGGAGUGUGGAGUGGGAGUGGGAGUAGGUUGUUUACUUACACUUGAAUGGAAGCAUGGAAUGGAGAUCAGAAUCCAAUUUAUGUGUUUACUUUGUCUUGGAUUGGGAGUAAAUAGUUUCAAAUUACAAUUUUAUCCUUAUUUAACGAAUUAUAAUUUUUAAUUACAAAACUAAUAAAAAAUAUAUUUAAUGAAUAAUAUUUAUUUUAUUAUAUUUGUAAAUUUAUUAUAAUUAUUAAUAUUCUUAAUUAUGAACAAUAAAUUAUUAAUUGUAAUUUUAAUAUAAAAUGAAAUGUUAUUUUAUUUUAUUUUAUAUAAUUAUAUUAAAUUUAUUAUUAUAUAAAAUAAUAAUAUAAUAUUAUUUAGUACAAAAUUAAUAUUUUCUUAUAAUAAAGUAUUUAUUAUUAUUAUUAUUAAAUAAAUAUAGUACUAUUAUUUUUAAAAUAAAUAUAAUAAUAUUAUAUUUAUUAAUUCUCUAUUAAUAUAAUAUUAUUAUUUUAAAAUAAUUUUAACUUAGAAUCAAUGUAAAUUAUUAUUUAGUUAAAUAUAAUAUUAUUAUUUAAAUAAAUAUAAUAUUAUUAUUUAAAUAAAUAUAAUAUUAUUUAUUUUAUUUUAUUAAUUAUAAAACAUAAAAUAAAAAAAAAGGGUAGAAAUGGGAGAGGUGGGAGUGGAUUCCUACUCCCACCUCCCCCAAUGGGAGUCCCACUCCCACUCCCCACUCCAAAAAUGGGUGGGGCCCACGGAGUGGGACUCCCAAUCCCUCCCCAUUUUAAGUAAGUAAAUGCUGGAGUGGGAGGAAUCCACACUCCUCACUCCCACUCCAGCAAGUAAACACAACAUAAAUGUUUUCAUAUCCCAUGAAAAUUUUUUGUAAUUAAUUACCUUAACGAACACUUUGCCAACUCAAUCUGGCUUCAGAAUUGGGUGUCGACUACAUUACUCUAAUUGCUUUACCAUUCAGUAUUGUAUAAUUCAAUGCCUCUAUAGCCUUUGUUGCUGAUAAAAAAAUAAUAAAAGUUAAAGACGUUCAUUAGGAAUAUAUUUCAAUUGUUAUGAAAGUAACCCAGCAAAUCGUUUCGAAUUUAAUUAGGAGAACAAUGUCGCGUAUCGCUUUUUUUUUUAUAUUAUUACAUGAGACCAUUGUUCAAGAGUACAAUUCAUAGUACAUUAGAUUACAAUUUAUAUUUACAAAUCAAAUUAUUAUUGGGACUAGUUCACAUCAAUUCUUAUGAACCACUGCCCAAAAUUUUACUCUCUAUAACAUUCGAAGGACGUUUACUCCACGCACAUUUCGAAAAGAAGAAUACUGUGUUCACUCAAUUAAAGAAGGAAAUUAAAUUCUCACAAUACAUUGUGGGAGCUUAAACCCAUGACUUCACAAUUGUAAGGUUUGGAUUCUAACCACUAGGCUAAAGCCUAGUGGCUCGCCCCAUGUAAGGGUUUUGAUUAACGCUCUUGACCAAGUCCCAAACUUGUAGCCCUAACUCUAAUUAACAUUUCCUGAAACCAUAGGGUUUAGUCAAGUUGUUUUCAAGUAAUUUUAUUUAACUGACUAAUCAUUGCUCUAGUUCAAAUUCUGGGAAAGACAGAUGGUUAAAGAAUAGAUUGGUGUACGUUCUGUUUCCCGUAUUAUGGAAUUAUCUGCAAUAAUUCACUUUAUACAACAAAGAGUUGUACACAUAUAACUAGAAGUACAUAUUUGAUUCAAUUAAUUUUACGUAGGUAAUUAAAAUAGUUUUAGGAAAAUAUGUAUAUAUAAAUUAUGAACAUGCAUGCACGUACCACAGUGAAAGGAAUGAAAGUUGGCGUAGCCAUAGCGGAGUGAACGUCGAUGGAAGCUAUCAACGCAGAGCAUAGCCGAAGCAAGUCCUUCGAGUUUUGAGAACGAGAAGGUCUGAAUGAGCUGUUGUUCUGUUACUGUGGAGUCGAGGUCUCCAACGUAGAGCGAGAACAGUGUCCCCAGAAUUGCAGAGUCAUUAUUAUUAUGAGCACGAAGAGAAACUUCCAUGUUUAAGGAAUGAAUCAAUAUCAGAGAUGACACAAGAUUAAUUGCUUGAGUUCAUCAGAGCAACAAACUAUGUGUAUAGUUAAUUAUUUAUUAAGAACAUAAUUAAGAAGUUGUGAUAACGUGUAAUUCCUUUCCUCUUUAGGAAUUAGCUUUCUUAUUGAAUUCUGAUUUUAUUAUAGAAGAAACGACUAUAAGGGGGUGCCAAGCUUAAGCCCGCGCAUUGGCGGAAUGCAGAAGCUACACUAUCUCUCUCUAUAUAUAGUAGAACCUCUAAAUAGACAUACUCUAUAUAGGAAUAAUCUCUUCAUGGUAAUAAAAAAUUGUGAUCACAACUUAAAACCAGUUAUAAUUAAGAAUAAACUCUAUAUUGUAAUAAGUUAUAUUUUUUAUAGAUCCCGUCUUAAAUAAACUUACCUUCACAUAGUAAUAACAUUUUAAAAAUAUAUGUCAUGUUACGUUAAAUAAUUAAGAGAGAACAAAAAUAUAUGCUAUGUUACGUUAAAUAAUUAAGAUAGAACAAAUAUAUUUUUAAAGUUGCAACCACAUCUUUCAACUUGCAGGUAUGUAUUAAUUGGUCAGCAUAGACAUUUUCUUGUUAAAACCAAAAUAUUUCUAACUUCUCAAAUAAAUUAAACUGUCUUUAGUAAUAAAUUACAUUAGAAACAUUUUAGUGACAUAAAAUUUUAUUAAAAUGUAAAUAAUCCACUUGCUACGAAUCUUUUUAUGUUUGACUCGAAAAGUUUCGGUAACUUUCUUGUCAAAAAUAAAAAAUAACAACUCGUUUAUGUUAUUCGAUUCCCUUUCAAAUGCAAACAAAAAGACAAAUUCUUGACCAAAGUCAAUUAAGUUGGUAGCUUGGUUAUUUGAAUAGGAGUCUUGACAUGCUUCGUUAUUAAGAAUUGUCAUCAUUCUUCUUUCCAAAAAGGAAAUAAGGAAAAAAAAUAAUAGUAGAGCGAAGAAACAAAGAAAACUAUGAUUCGAAGUCAAAAGAAUUCAAUUUUUGAUGAUCAGUAUUCGUUUAAUCUUUAUAUUUUAAAAUAUAUCUUAAAAUAUUUUUGUUGUUAAUUAUGUUACACUUUUUAGUAUUGCAUUUUAUUUGUUUUGACAGUAAAACAUUAAUAAAAAUAAAUAUUAAUUUAUCGAAUUAAAUGUAAAGGUAAAAUAAUGAUAAUACUACUAUUAUUAUUUAUUUUAUUUGUAAACUAUUAUUAUUUUUACUUUUGUGGUUAAUUAGAUAAAUAACAUAUUUAAAUCUUAUUAUUGUAUUGUUACAAUAAUAUAUUAUAUUAUGAUAAUUUAAUAUAUUUAAAUUAAUAAAUAAUAAUAAUAUUUUUUUUUUGCAAAUUAUUAUUACUUUUUUAUGGUUGAUUCAAUAAAUUAAUAUAUUUAUUUUCUUUAAUGUAUUAUUACAAGAGUAUUAUUAUUGUAGAAACAAAUAAAAUGUAAGAGUAAAGGGUGUAACAUAAUUAACAACAAAAAUAAUAAAUUAAUAUUUUUAUAUUAAUAUCUCCAAGAUUGUUACAAGGUAUUAUUGUCAAAGCAAAACAAAAGUAAGGACAAUAAUAAAACAUAUUAUAAUAUCUAACUAUAGUAACUGAACAUAUACUUAACCUAAAAUGUAAUAUCUAAAUGAACACUUUACCUACUUGAUUAACAUAAUCAUAUAUACAUAAUUUAUAGUCAUGUAAUGUGCCCUUGAUAAAAACUUAUGAUAUAAUAAUAAUAAUAAUAAUAAUAAUAAUAAUAAUAAUAAUAAUCUUACACCAUCUAUCAGUUAAUGACAAGUCACGUGUCGUAUUAUUUAAGAUCCAUUACGUUUUUUUAAUUAUGUAUUGAUAGUAUUAUUAACAAAACAAUUAUUAUUAUUUUUUCCUUCCCCUAGCUUCCACUAUUUUAUCUAUUUAUUUUUAUUUUUAUUUAUUUUUAUUUGGAAUGAAGCUUCCACCUUAAACAAACGAAGAAAGUGCUGACCAGCUGGUAAGAUUCCUAAAAAGUGUAAGCAAGACGACGCACUUUCGAUUGUUGAAAUGAAUCAGAAGAGCUAAAGCCGUUUCUUUAUGCGUUCCUUAAUGUUGUAGAUGUAGUUCUCUUUUUUCUUUUUUCAUAAACUUGCACCCACAUGGAGGUAAGCGAAACUGGCUUUUGCCUUUCGUUCGUUCAUCAAAUUUUAAUAUCACUUAUUACGUCGCUUAAUUGAAAUCUCAUGUAUUUAUUUAAAAAAUAAAAAUAAAAAAUUAAGAAGUUGAUACAAAUAAAUGAGAAGAUAAAAAUUAGUUGCAUUAAUAAGAUAUUUUAUUUUCAAGUGAGUUUUUAAUCAAAGAUUCUCAAUUUUAAAAAUUAAAAAAUAAAUUAUUAUAUAUUAAAAUUUAUUGAUAACAUAACAUCUUCAAAAUGUUCUAAUAUUUUUUAUAACAGAACAUGAAACUAAAUAAUUUGGUGAUCGUCAAAUAAUUUUUAUUAAUUUAAAAAAAAUAAUUAAUACACUCUUAAAAUAUUAUAAUAAUUUUUAUAACAAUACAUCCAUAAAGUAUUCAAAUGAUAAUAUUAUUAAUAUUUAUUGAUAAUGGCACCUCAAAGUUCAACUCUAAUUGCUUCUGAGCUACGCAAUUAAGUAAAGUAAAUACCAAGAAAGUCACAUCAACGCGCUUUGUGACACAACAACAUGACGUUUAAAGAGCCUCGCGGCAGAUGCAAAUAUCGAUUGACUGAAAAGAAAGCUCAAAUUGACAAUUCGUUUAGCCCAACAGUUUAAAAUACUGAGUGAGAUCUUGGCAUAAAACAGUGAAAGCUAAAGCAUAAAGAAAAGAAUGUUUAAGGAAAAGAGAAAAAAAAAAAAGAGAAUGAAGAAGAUGCUUUAUCUCUCUUUUUGCGUCAUUUAGAACGCAUGCCAACCAUGCACGUCCACGUCAUUUUAAUCCACGAAGAGAUAGAUAGAUCACUAACAGACAGAGUCAAUAUAUAUUCUUCAUGUCAAUUAUGGCGAGAGCUUUUCCUUUUUCUUUGGGACACAUGGUCUGUGAGGUAUGCUCGCGGAUAAAAUUCAAAUUAAUUUCUUUGACCUAUAUCUAAAAUAUUUAGGAUUUAAAUCGGUUAAAUAAAUCAAUUUUAAAAAUCACUCAAAUUAAUCCUCUUAAAAAUAAGAGAGCCAUGUUUACUUUAGGAGACCACUGAUAUUAAAUUACUAAAAUGAUAACAUCAAAAUAAAAUUGGUAUUAUUGUUCGUGCCGUCACAAUACCAUUGUAGUACACAAAAUGACGACAUUGUUCAUACUAAAAUACUUUUCUUUUCUUGGUAGUUAAAUAUUAUUUUUCUUUUUUAUUACACGUGAAAGUAUUUUUAUUAUUAGCAAUAAACAUGCACAAUAAGAAGUGAACAGAAAUUAACAAUAUUUUAAAUUUAAAUAAUUAUCGUAGACUCUCGUAGACUUAGCUAAACUUUUACUGCAUGCGCGCGCACACACACAACAUAAAAAUGACACCGCGAAUUAAAAAAACUGUAAAUUUUGCGAGGGCUCGAUUUUAAAUUUGCACAGAAAUCAGACAAAUUUCAGAUCAGUCCCUUAUGUUUCUCUGAAAUUUAUUCCAUCCCCCCCCGACUAUCGAGUACAAGGCGCCAUCAUAUCCUCUGUAGCAUUUCUAGAAUCUUGGAAGUGGUCCCGCGCAUUUAGUCCAUCGAUCCUUGUCACCUGAUGGGAGUAAAACUCCUCGGUCAAAAGGAUUUGGUAUUCUCGCGGGCCCCACAAAGGAAAUUAAAAAACUAAAAAGCCAAAAAUAGGCUGCGCAUAGAAUACCAUGAAGCGGAAGUCCCUUCCUUCGGAAGUUGUUUGCAAGAGAAGACUUGGAAAUUAUCUACAACGUGCUAUCCCACCGUGUCUCCCGUAGACGCCAGCUUCGAUUGAUCCAUCCCAACUUUGUCUUUAUCAAAUUAUAAACGUCCCGAAGAAGCCCUCUUCGCUCGACACGUGCACGUGCAUCAAAGGUUUCGUGUUAGCUUUGCGUUAUUUGCGAUUUUAAAGAAAGUGCCGUUGUACGGUUCUGCUGUUCCUUUAUCGCUUACGUGUAAAAGGCCUUGCUGACUCCUCGCAGACAGCCCCACUGAACUCUUUCAAUUUCUUAAAAAAAUAUAAAGUAAUGGAUACCGACUUGGCAAAACGGAUGCGCACAUGUGCUUGAGAAAUCAGAUUCCCAACCCCCCCCCCCCCCCAACAGUAAAAGCGUGACCAAAUACUAUCGAUUUUUAAUAAUUUUUUAUUAAAAAAUAUAUAAUUUUCUUUACGUUGUGUGAAUGGGGUCCACAGGCGGACAGCCAAACUAGAUGCCUUGGGAAUCGUCAACCCUUCGGGCUGGAAAACGCCCCAAUUUUAAGAAGGAGCGCCGCCUAAAAGCUAUGAUUAACUUGUCGUCAUACGCGCCCAGGGAAAGCGUGUGUGGGAGCAAAUAUUCAAACGCCGGGACUAUUGGACACGUGUGAUAGUUUAAAGAGGCCGUAGCUCUGAGCUUUGCAGGAAUAAAAGGCUGAUGGUUCAGCACGCGCUCAUGGAAAAUUUUCACUCGUUCCAAAUUCCAAUCACCUUCUGUUCUUCCACAGCGACUAUGUCCAUUGACCCCCAGACACCUGAUGAUUAUUUUGGCGGUCUUUUUUCAUUUCACAAAUUUUACCCUUUGCCAUCUUCACCUGGUGGGUGAAAUUUGAUUUUUGGGUACAAUGCAAAGUGGAUUUAAUCAUAAACUUCUUGAAUUAGAAUUAGAAAAAAUAUUCACCGCCUAUUCAUUUUUUUUUUAAAUAUACAAUUUUUUUUUUUGAAUCCACCUAAAAUUAUAUUUUGUUUUACUUUUUCACUUCUGUUUGAAGUUCGUUAAGAAAACUAACUGAAACUUAAAAAAUGACCAUUUUACCCCCAAAACGAAAAUUAUAAUUUCACCCUAAAAAAUACCAAAAAUAAUAAGAUUUAAUGAUGAAUAUCAUUAUUGGUACGUUAAUGAAGUAUAAAAAAAUCUUAACUACUAGAGAUUAUAACUCAAUGAAUAAUAAAAUUCCACUUAUUUUAAAUUCAAUUGAUGGUUUGCGAGAUUGAGCUAUUUUUAAUACUACUGUUAUAAUUUAGUAUUCUAAUUACAGACAUAUUUAAAAAAAAAAACCUUGCAUUUAAAAGUUGUGGAAUUAAUUUCUUUAUUGACCGAUGAGGAAAAUAAUUAGAUUUAAUUUGAUUAUUUUUGGUAAUUUUUAGGGUGAAAUUAUAAUUUUCGUUUUGGGGGGUAAAAUGAUCAUUUUUUUAAGUUACCGUUAGUUUUCUUAACAAAUUUCAAACGAAAGUGGAAAAGUGAAACAAAAUAUAACUUUAGAUGGAUUCUAAUAAAAAAAAAGAAUUGUGUAUUUUUGAAAAGUUAAAAAAAAUGGGUGAACGAUAAAUAUUUUUCCUUAGAAAUAUUAUCUGGAGGGUAAUCAUAAGUUUGGUCCUUUUACAGAAUGUAGAUUUAUGGUGGUGUUUUUGUUUGUGAUGGUUAAAAGAAUAUAGGCACGCAUUAGACAAUAGUAUAAAGUUAAGAGUAUUGGACUAUUCUUUUUAAAAUUAAACUAGUCUUUUGUUUGGUGCCGCAAAGAUAAGUGAGGAUUAUGUACCCUAAGACCACACCAUUUAAUCUUGGACACAUACUUUUAUAAAGUACAAUGAAAAUUUUUAUCCCAUGGGGACCAUAGGGAUAAUGCGGGAUAAUUUUUUUCAUGCUUAAAAAUAAUUGUAGAAUAAUUACAAGAUGAAAUAUCUAUAACUAUUAUUACAUUAUAUUAUCACAUUAAUUAAAUAUUUAUUUACUUUAAUUUUCAUUUUACUUAACUAAUAAUAAAAAUAUUAGAAUUUAUAUUUUGUGUGUUUGUGUGUGUAUAUGUAUGUAUAUUGUGUGUAUACGUAUCUAAACAUAUACAAAUGAUCAAUUGCACACAUUAUUGUACGCGAUGAGCCAUGUGUCAUCUAAUCAUGGUUGUGUGGCACAUCUAAUUAGGUGUGUAUAAUAAUAAUAAUAAACAACUUAAAUUAAUAAUUAGGUUUUUUAAUUUAAUAAUUUGAAUAUUCAUAUUAUUAAAUCUAUAUUUAUAAAUUUACUCUAAUAAAUAAAUACUUUUAAAUGUUUAAUAAUCAAUAAAUCAAUAUUAAUAUACUUCAUUUCUUAUAAAUGAUUUUAAUAAAAUCCUACAGUAGACCAAACAUGAGAUAAUACUAAAUAUAAAUCAAACCCAAUCUUAUUCUAUCCUGCUAAACCCGUCUUAUAAAAAGAAGUUAUUUAAGUUCUAAUGGCAGCGGGAGCUGGAAACCUGAAAGGCCGGAAGCCCAGCUGAAGCUCUUACCUCAAUUUCCAACUGAAAAUUAAUAAUUAAUAAUUAAUAAUUAAUGAUGAACGCUCAUAAACAUAAAAAUGAACGAUCUUUCCUUUGCCCUCCAACGGGAGCAACUGAGCAAGUAGUAAGUGGAACCUCGCCACUUUCCUUGCAAAACGGGAGCAAGUAGCAAGUGUGUAGCAGUUACGGCAACAAAAGCGCGUGCUACAUUUACACGUCAUUAGUAUAAAAAGCUAGGGGUAAAUUCGUCAGAGAACCAAACAGUCGCCAUAUUGCCGCGAAGCAAUAAAAUAAAAAGAAUUUCCAUUGCACGCCUUGCAUUUAAUUCGAUCACUCUCUCUCUCUAUGUGUUAAAUCUUGGUCCUUAUUAUUUAUACACACGCCCCCUCUUCCUCCUUCCUUCUCUCCGUUUCUUCUUAAGUCUGUCGCUCUCUCGCUUUAUUUGUGUGACCAUCACUUCACUUCGGUUCCUCAAAAUUUUCUCUCUCAUUUCACCUUUCUGCUUUCGACAAUGUCUCGACGUGGUGGCGGUGGUCGUAGACCGGAUUCUCGCCGUGACCAGCCGACUCAGCCACCGGCGCCGUCAUUCCAGCGCGGUGGCGGCGGAGGCGCUGGACCACGGGGCCGAGGUCGUCAAGGUCAACGUGGGGGUGCUGGUCGUGGAUCGCAUUCCGGCUCCGGUGCAGCCCCGUCCACAUCGCACGCGGCUUCGACUUCGACGGCGCCGGCUCCUUCAACUCCGUCUGUUUCUGCUUCUGCUCCUUCGACUCCGUCUGUUUCUGCUUCUGCUCCUUCGACUCCGUCUGUUUCUGCUUCUGCUCCUUCUUCGUCUUCAGUCUCUACUCUUGUCGAAGAAACGGAGCAGAAACUGACAUUGGCGGCACCAGCGGCGGCUACUCUUCCGCCUUCGUCGUCGCAGGCGAUGAGAUUUCCGGUGAGGCCGGGAUUUGGAACUGUUGGCAAAAAAUGUGUUGUCAGAGCAAAUCACUUUAUGGUGCAACUUGCCGAGAGAGACAUUCAUCACUACGAUGUAAGUCUACUUUUAAUUGUGUUAUUUUUGAAGACGUUUUGCUGUUUUUAUUUUUUAUUUUUCGUUUUUCUCGUCAAUUUUGAUUUUAUUUAAGAUUCACCAUUCGUGAGCGUCGAAUUCGAAGGUGUCGGGGUUUUGUUGAUAUUUUAAAAAUAUGUUUAUUCUUUUGCUUAUUUAUUUAUUUAUUUUUAAGGUUUCAAUUACUCCAGAGGUGACGUCGAAAAAAAUCAACAGACAAAUUAUUUCUCAGCUGAUUAAUUUAUAUCGGCUGACUAACUUGGGUGGACGAAUACCUGCCUAUGAUGGUGUGAAGAGCAUUUACACGGCAGGGCCGCUGCCUUUUGAAUCAAAGGAAUUCAUUAUCAAGUUACCUGAUAGCGAUCCUCGUCCCAGCUCAUCUACCAGGCCG